CUGGAAUCGCUAGUAAUCGCAGGUCAGCAUACUGCGGUGAAUACGUUCCCGGGUCUUGUACACACCGCCCGUCACACCAUGGGAGCCGGAAAUGCCCGAAGCCAGUGACCCAACCUUAGGGAGGGAGCUGUCGAAGGUGGAGCCGGUAACUGGGGUGAAGUCGUAACAAGGUAUC
rnacentral:rRNA from 1 species